CAGCACUAGUGGUAGAGUUGUGGAUCAGUAUCGAAGCUCUUUGAGCCCUUCUACCGUAGAAGCCUUAGUGUGUACCCAAGAUUGGCUUCGUGAACAAUAUGAUGAAGUUGCAAAUUGCUCGAGUUCUGUAACGUUGAAUGUAGAUGACGACACCCUGGACUCCUGGAGUGGGCAAUUUGGGAGAACUGAAUGACGAUACCCUCAUCAGAUCUAGUUCAUACCUAAAGUAUCAAGUAUGAAGUAUGUUUGUUGAUGGAGUAUUUUUAUGUGGAUCAUGGUUAUUUGUUGCAAAAUUUUAUGAGAGUUGUAUGUUUUUGAACUGCAGGCCUGAAGCUGACUUCAGGGGAUUUCUCUAUUACAUGGAUAUGAUGAAUAUAUUAUUGUGCAGGGAACAACGACUUCAGGCCGAUGAUUUUUUUUAUCCUCCUGUUUUUGAUGGAAUCCUUUUGUUUGGUUUCAGUUGUAUCGUUGCACUUGGUUGCAUGGAAUGAAUUUUUUUGCAAGUUUUCUUCAAACCAUCAGAUGCUAUUUUGUUAAUGAUCUGUCUGAUUGCCUACUUGGUCCAUCUUAUAUUUGAUUUAAGUUGAAUAGGUUGUUUGCUUGUCGACAUUUUUGCUUGUAUGUUUACAAGAGCAGCAUAUGCAAUAUUUUUGUUGAAUAAGGAUUUAGAGCAGCUUUUAAACUACAUUGGAGCUGAAAGUUUGGGACCAAGGCGUGUAUUAGCUAACUUGAAGGAGCUUGUGAGGAUCAUCCAGUCUCAGGAAUACAUUGACAUGUAAUUAACUCCACUUGUAUCAACGUGUUGAAGCAGCAGAUAGAUUUUGCCAAACCUUGGUGCAAAUUUUAGUGAAGCACCUUUGACACAAACCAAUUGAAUACAAUUUUCCAAAGAUCUGUAUACAUAUUACAUUUUUUCGAUGUAACAUAUUGUUGUUUCUACAACAAUGAAAGCAAUAUUUCUAAUGUCAAAUUGCUACCAAUAGGUUUGUCUAAAUCUAACAAGUAUUGGAAGUCAGAUGGUUCACUUUGACUGACAGAUGUUACUUCUUAUCAUUGCCUACAUAUUUGCUUA